AAUCGAGCAAGCACAUUCAAUCUGUCAUGUAAUUGUCUAAAUGUAAAAAUGUAAUAAUAUACCUGAAUACUUUUCGAAAAUUACGAAACUUCAUCAGGAGUCUUGCUAGAAGUUAUUUGGAGAGCAUGAAGGCCGCCAUCAAAUUCAUCUUUUAGUAAUCCAUAAACAAGUCGAUGUCGGGCGACUCUUGACAUCCCGGAGAACUCUGGUGAUACAAUUUCUAAACGGAAAUGAGUCUCAUUUGUGUCUGGUACGCCUUUCAUCGCAAUAUGAUGGCUAUGUUUAUAACUAUCAUUAUACAAGGUAAUCUUGUCUGUUUUCAAGGCUUCUGAAAGCGUUUUAUAAAUACGAUCC